ensembl:snRNA U6 U6 spliceosomal RNA
GUGCUCGCUUCGGCAGCACAUAUGCUAAAAUUGGAACGAUUCGGAGAAUAUUAGAAGGGCCCCUGCGCAGGGUGGACAGGCAAUUCUGUAAGCGUCCAUAUUUUU